rnacentral:rRNA from 1 species
UAAACGAGAGGGAAAGUAUCACCGGGCACGAGUAACCCGGUGUGAAGAUAGGGGGCCCAUCCCCUAAGGCUAAAUACUAACAUGUGACCGAUAGUGAACAAGUACCGUGAGGGAAAGGUGAAAAGAACCCCGAAAGGGGAGUGAAAUAGAACCUGAAACCUAGUGCCUACAAGCAGACAGAGCGUGAGCGAACGUGAUGUCGUACCUUUUGUAGAAUGGGCCAGCGAGUUAUUCUAAAUUGCAAGGUUAAUGAUUUAAGAUCAGAAGCCGUAGCGAAAGCGAGUCUUAAUAGGGCGAAAGUAAGUUAGAAUAGACCCGAAACCGGGUGAUCUAUCCAUGGUCAGAGUGAAGUUGAAGUAAAAUUCAAUGGAGGCUCGAACCGGGUGCGGUUUAAAACGCAUCGGAUGAACUGUGGAUAGGGGCGAAAAACCAAACGAACCCGGAGAUAGCUGGUUCUCCUCGAAAUAGCUUUAGGGCUAGCCUCUGACCUAAGAUUUUAGGAGGUAGAGCACUGAAUGGUCUAGGGCGGAUUACCGUACCAAAACCUAUCAAACUCCGAAUGCCAAAAAAUCAAGUCAGGGAGUCAGACUUAGGGGGAUAAGCUUCUAAGUCGAAAGGGAAACAGCCCAGACCGACAGCUAAGGUCCCAAAAUUUGAAUUAAGUGGAAAAGGAUGUGAAUCUACUAAGACAACCAGGACGUUGGCUUAGAAGCAGCCAUGCAUUUAAAGAAUGCGUAAUAGCUCACUGGUCAAGUGGGUUUGCGCCGAAAAUGAACGGGGCUCAAAUUCAAUACCGAAGCUUCGGAUUAAUAGAGGGAUUAAGUUUACAAAUGAGACUAGGAAAUAUUUAACAAAAACAGAAGAGAUUAAAAAGAAAAUACAAAUUUCAGACGCAGACAUAAAAGAUAGGAUAUUAAAGAAAAUAUUCAAAAAACACAAGUCUAAAGUCAAAAGUGAGUAACAUAAGAAAUUAUGAACUAACAAUCACUGGUUAAGAGUUAAAAACUAGGACUCAUAGCUAAACUUAAUACCUCUAUUAGUGGUAGAGGAGCAUUGUAUUAGAGACGAAGCCAAGGCGAAAGCAAAAGUGGAUCUAAUACAAGAGAGAAUGCUGGCAUGAGUAGCGAGAAGGGAUGUGAGAAUCAUCCCCGUCGAAACCCUAAGGACUCCUGAGCAAGGCUCGUCCCCUCAGGGAAAGUCGGGACCUAAGCCAAGGCCGAAAGGCGUAGGCGAUGGAUAACAGGUUUAUAUUCCUGUACCGCUUGAAGUCGUUAAGAGAGAAGUGAUGACGCAAAAGGAUAAGCAAAGCCAUCAGAUGGAAAAGAUGGUCUAAAGCCGUAGGAAGAAAAGUAGGCAAAUCCGCUUUUCAAAAUUCUAAAAGCCGAUAGGUAUCGAAAACAUAAGUAGAGAAGUUGCCGAUUCCAGGUUGCCAAGAAAAGUCACUAUCCAGACCAAAGCGCCCGUACCAAAACCGACACAGGUAGGGAGGUAGAGAAUACCAAGACGCGCGGAAGAACCUUUGUUAAGGAACUCGGCAAAAUGUCCCC